rnacentral:lncRNA from 1 species
CUUAUCCGUUUGUCAUCCCCUUAUGACAUAGUUUGUACAUUUCAAUUGUCAGUAGAAACCACAUUUGUUUAAGCAAGUCAGACAUAUCAGCUAUGUUUUCUUAAAAGGCAGUAAAUUAAUCUGAAUUAGCUGUUUUUCUGCAAGACAAGGCUUCGCUGAUAGCCAGGUGUAGCAGUGGUCAUAUUUUCCAAUCUCCCAAAAUAAAUGCAAUCCCUGACGAGACUAGGCCACUGUAACGGUCUUGGGACGACAGACGCUGGGAGAUGGGAAGAAAGUACAGGGUAAGGAUUUAAUAAUAAAUAGACAUGAAACAAAGCAAAAACAGCGUCUGGACAAAAGAAACAAAACAGCAUCAAUGCAGGGACGGGGAAGAAACUGAGGAAGUGAAAGAUACAGGGGAGGCAAUCUAUGACAUCAUGGAGUCCAGGUGAGUCCGGGAAAGCGCUAGCACGCUUAACGGUGGUGACAGAUGUGUGUAAUGAUGAGCAGCCUGGCGGCCUUUGAGCGCCAGAGAGCGGGAGCGGGAGUGGACGUGACAACCACAGAUCGAACAAUUAGCCAGAUAUUUCACCGAAUGUAUAAAUGUGAAGUAUCCGGUUGCCAUUUCCACUCACUACCAAAUAUGGUGAUUGAUGAGCGGAAUCCCAGUGGCUGGCGGUGGGAGAAGAUGGAGCGAGAUGGAUUUUGGCCGACAUUCUGAACAUUUUCUCAUCGAUGAAACAUUUGAUCUCAAUACAGUUGUCUGUUUCCAAAACUAGAGUCUAGAACACACAGAGUGGACUGCGUUUUGUAGACUUUCCCCUAUGCCAAAGUUUCCUUGCUUUUUCUGCCCACUAUGAUUCAUUUGCUCCAAUUGGAAAUGACAUUCAAUGGUCUAUCUUGGUUUAGUUGUAAAAAUAUUUGACUCUCCUCCAGCUUGUCUUGUGUUGUGAAACGCUCCCUAUGCUCUCCGUCCAGUACCGGAACGAGAUUGCAUGAAGAUGACCUACAGCGUAAUGAAAUACGGCUUAAUGAAAUAAAUCAAGAUGUAAACGGG